rnacentral:rRNA from 1 species
AUUGAACGCUGGCGGCAGGCCUAACACAUGCAAGUCGAGCGGAUGAAGGGAGCUUGCUCCUGGAUUCAGCGGCGGACGGGUGCGUAAUGCCUAGGCAUCUGCCUGGUAGUGGGGGAUAACGUCCGGCAACGGGCGCUAAUACCGAUUACGUCCUGAGGGAGAAAGUGGGGGAUCUUCGGCCCUCACGCUAUCAGAUGAGCCUAGGUCGGAUUAGCUAGUUGGUGGGGUAAAGGCCUACCAAGGCGACGAUCCGUAACUGGUCUGAGAGGAUGAUCAGUCACACUGGAACUGAGACACGGUCCAGACUCCUACGGGAGGCAGCAGUGGGGAAUAUUGGACAAUGGGCGAAAGCCUGAUCCAGCCAUGCCGCGUGUAUGAAGAAGGUCUUCGGAUUGUAAAGCACUUUAAGUUGGGAGGAAGGGCAGUAAGUUAAUACCGUGCUGUUUUGACGUUACCAACAGAAUAAGCACCGGCUAACUUCGUG